AAGUCGUAACAAGGUCUCCGUUGGUGAACCAGCGGAGGGAUCAUUAAAGAGUUGCAAAACUCCCUAAACCAUUGUGAACUUAUACCACAAACGUUGCUUCGGCGGGUUUUACGCCCCGGAACGCCGCCCCCUCAGGGGACCGGCACCGGAUCCAUGGCGCCCGCCGGAGGACCCAAACUCUUCUGUAUUUUACAAUGCAUGUCUGAGUGGAUUUAAUAUCAAAUGAAUCAAAACUUUCAACAAUGGAUAUCUUGGUUCUC
rnacentral:misc_RNA from 1 species